rnacentral:rRNA from 1 species
AUUGAACGCUGGCGGCAUGCCUUACACAUGCAAGUCGAACGGUAACAGGGAGCUUGCUCCGCUGACGAGUGGCGAACGGGUGCGUAAUAUAUCGGAACGUGCCCUAGAGUGGGGGAUAACUAGUCGAAAGAUUAGCUAAUACCGCAUACGAUCUAAGGAUGAAAGUGGGGGAUCGCAAGACCUCAUGCUCGUGGAGCGGCCGAUAUCUGAUUAGCUAGUUGGUAGGGUAAAAGCCUACCAAGGCAUCGAUCAGUAGCUGGUCUGAGAGGACGACCAGCCACACUGGGACUGAGACACGGCCCAGACUCCUACGGGAGGCAGCAGUGGGGAAUUUUGGACAAUGGGCGCAAGCCUGAUCCAGCAAUGCCGCGUGAGUGAAGAAGGCC